rnacentral:sRNA from 1 species
UCCGGAGCGGGUGCCGUUUGACGGAACCAGACCGUUAGACUCCAGGAAUCAAGUCUUUCCGGAUGUCCCCGGUUUCCCCCGGGGGCCUUCAGUCAGCAGCCGCUGCAACCCCAGGGAG